rnacentral:rRNA from 1 species
GGGAGGCAGCAGUAGGGAAUCUUCCGCAAUGGACGAAAGUCUGACGGAGCAACGCCGCGUGAGUGAUGAAGGCUUUCGGGUCGUAAAACUCUGUUGUUAGGGAAGAACAAGUACAAGAGUAACUGCUCGUACCUUGACGGUACCUAACCAGAAAGCCACGGCUAACUACGUGCCAGCAGCCGCGGUAAUACGUAGGUGGCAAGCGUUAUCCGGAAUUAUUGGGCGUAAAGCGCGCGCAGGCG